GGCUCGGCAGCUUAGUUUGUAAAGCGCUUGUCUAGCAUACAAAAGUCCUGGGUUCGAAUCCCAGCCGAGCAU
rfam:Aedes aegypti strain Liverpool supercont1.626 genomic scaffold, whole genome shotgun sequence.